AGCGGCGGACGGGUUAGUAACGCGUGGGAACAUACCCUUCUCUAUGGAAUAGCCUCGGGAAACUGAGAGUAAUACCAUAUACGCCCUUCGGGGGAAAGAUUUAUCGGAGAAGGAUUGGCCCGCGUUUGAUUAGAUAGUUGGUGGGGUAAUGGCCUACCAAGUCUACGAUCAAUAGCUGGUUUGAGAGGAUGAUCAGCAACACUGGGACUGAGACACGGCCCAGACUCCUACGGGAGGCAGCAGUGGGGAAUCUUAGACAAUGGGUGCAAGCCUGAUCUAGCCAUGCCGCGUGAGCGACGAAGGUCUUAGGAUCGUAAAGCUCUUUCGCCAGAGAUGAUAAUGACAGUAUCUGGUAAAGAAACCCCGGCUAACUCCGUGCCAGCAGCCGCGGUAAUACGGAGGGGGUUAGCGUUGUUCGGAAUUACUGGGCGUAAAGCGCACGUAGGCGGACUAGAAAGCAAGAGGUGAAAUCCCAGGGCUCAACCCUGGAACUGCCUUUUGAACUACUAGUCUAGAGUUCGAGAGAGGUGAGUGGAAUUCCAAGUGUAGAGGUG
rnacentral:rRNA from 1 species